GUUUGCAUCAACAGACCUGAGAGUGCGGGUGGGAGUGUGCUGGUGGAUGAGCUCAGACAGGUAGGGGGAGGGGCCUGGUUGUGAUGAUGAGGAGCUUGAAGUUGAUACGCUGGGGGAUGGGGAGCCAGUGGAGGUCAUGAAGAACGGGGAUGAUGUGGUCUCUGGUGCGGGAGUGUGUGAGGAGACGAGCAGCAGAGUUCUGAAUGUAUUGGAUACGCUUUUGGCUGAAAGCCGCCAAUUAACAGGGUUACACAUUAAACCGAACGGGACGGUUGCAACCAUGGAGAGAGGAAAGAGAAAGUGAGUGCAGACGGUGCCGAUGGUGUGCUGACCAGGUGGCAACCUCUGGUCUUAAAAAAUGAAGCCAAUGCAGAAGUGCAAAAUCCUGCAGUUCCUAGAGUGACCGCUUGAGGCUCCAGGAACACCUGGAAGUAACAUACACAUGUCUGGCAAAAAAAGCAGUUUUUACAGCAUAAAUAAACAUGUUUACAGCCUGGUACCAAAAAACGAAAUAGGUCUGAAUAGUUAUUGUCAUCACUGGCACACAUGGCACCGUAUUGAUUUAGAAAAUGAUGCGUGUUAUCCAUAUUUAGGCACAUAGCUGACAUGAUUGACAGGUGGGCGAGAUGCAACGGUUGGUCAAGAGGCUUAAACCCUGCCACAUAAUGGUACCUCCUCGAGUGUUGCCAUGUCUGUUUACAUCCUGUAGUUGUAUACAUCCAGAGCUCUCUGCUGUGCCCUCUUUAUUUUCCCGUUCCAUGCGUAGCACACAGUCAUCAACCGACCUAAGCCUCUUGAAGCACUUGUGUCACAAACUACCCAUUCAGGCUUUUCAAAAUCAGUUGCCUUGGAAUCGUCUGUCAUUCCAUAGACAGUUGAAUAAAAUAAUGUGAAUCCUAGUCCAGCUCUGGCACUGUGUUUGAUGCAAUCUGUCUUUGAAACAUAGGUAUAAUAUACACAGUAUACAUAUUUUAUUAAGAUUUGAACUACUAUAACGUUUUUCUUAUUUUUAGAUUGUUCACCUAGAAUUUUUUUUUUUAUCAGGGUCUUUUUAUUUUCAUUUUCAACAUUAUAUCACAGGCCCAAAAGGACCAACAGAACAGGAGAAAAACAACAACAACAAAAGAAAAAACUAACUAAAAUAAAUCCUCACCCCCCCCCCAGAAACCAGACACACACACAUAAACAUUGUACAUAGCCAGAUAUCUAUCAAAAGGAGAUAAAUGAUACAUUGCAUAUAGCCAGACAUUCAUAAAAGGUAAAUAAAUAAUACAUAUAGAAAUAAAUCACAGAAAGAAAAAAAAAAUGGUGCCAUUA